GUAUGAUAGCGGUAACAACAUCAAAUACUUUUUAGGAAGUCUGCAGAGGUCAUAGUACUUUUAAAAAAAGCAUUGAAAAAUGCAAAUAUUAAAGGAAGGAC
rfam:Candidatus Pacebacteria bacterium CG1_02_43_31 cg1_0.2_scaffold_4955_c, whole genome shotgun sequence.